rnacentral:rRNA from 1 species
GCCUAGCCAUAAACCAAAAUAAUCUCCAUAACAAAAUUAUUCGCCAGAGUACUACUAGCAACAGCCUAAAACUCAAAGGACUUGGCGGUGCUUUAUAUCCCUCUAGAGGAGCCUGUUCCGUAAUCGAUAAACCCCGAUAAACCUUACCACCCCUUGCCAAUACAGCCUAUAUACCGCCAUCUUCAGCAAACCCUAAAAAGGAAACAAAGUAAGCAUAAGCAUAGGACAUAAAAACGUUAGGUCAAGGUGUAGCUUAUGAGGUGGAGAGAAAUGGGCUACAUUUUCUAACCAAGAACAACACAUCCCAUGACACGAAAGUUUUUAUGAAACUAAAAACUAAAGGAGGAUUUAGCAGUAAAUUAAGAAUAGAGAGCUUAAUUGAACUAGGCCAUGAAGCACGC